rnacentral:rRNA from 1 species
AUGGCGCUGGUGCCGAACCCAAGCCAACCGGGCCUCCGGAUCUACAAGCCGAGUUUCUCCUACUGGUACCCUUCGCUGGAGCAAGACUCCGAGUCCAGAUCUCAUCUGCUGCACAAGAUCGGCGCCUUCUACCGCAAGGCGCGGAAGCGGCUCCCGCGCAGCCAGCACCGCCGGCCGCAGGGCCUCUGCGUCGGCCUCCUCAACCCGGUCUCCAACAUCGUCAUCAACAGUCUCAUCUCCACCUGCAAGCGCAAGCGCGGCGGUGGAUCCAGUUGCUGCAAGGGUGUGCAAGACGACCUGGAGCGCCGCUCGCUUGACGCCCUGGUGGCGUUCCUCACCCGCUUGUUCCCCAACCUACCCGAGAGCCUGGCCUUGCACUACCUGCGCCUCGCCGACGCCGACGCCCUAGUCGCCGCCCGCGUCAUCGUGUCGCACCAUGGCAUGAAGAGAUUUGAUGACUCGGAGCCAGCCGUCCUGGACAUGGCCCCCAUCAAGUGUGCCGCACUGGCUGUCGGGUACCCCGACCCCGAUCGCCUCGUCCAUGCCUGGCGCAACAUCUCCGGCUGUAUUGACGACACUCUGCACCUGCUCGCCAUGUUGCACAAACCAUCGUCCGACUGCUCCCAUGGCACUAGCAAGCUCGCCAGGAUGCUUAAGACACCACCAUCCCGCCUCUCCUGCAUCAUUAGCAAGCUCACCAGGAUGCUUAACAAUGGACCAUCGCCCGGCUGUGAAAAAGACAUAUGGUGGGCAUGGCGGCUCGCGGCUUCUCGUCGCAGUCGUCCCUGCAGCGACCCGUACCUGCACACCGGCUUGCUCAGCCGGACGCUCCAGGACGCCAUCCACGGUUUUUACCUCCAGGCCCUCGCCUGGUUGCCAGCAGGCUCUAGCUUCCACCGCAGCCUGCUCAAGGCCGGCUACUGCUACGGCCCUCUUGAUCCCAUCUCAAACAUCAUCGUCAACACCAUCUGGUAUGACACUGCACUCCCACCUACCAUGAAACUCGAGCUGGACCUGGAUGUGAUCGGCACGCAGGGUCUCCACCGGGUGGAGAACCGCUCCUUGUAUGGCCUGGCCUCCUUCCUCUGCACACGCUAUCAUCGCUUCGAUUUCCAUCAAGCUCUGCAAUGCCUGGUCCAGGCAGAUGCCAACCUUGUGCUCGCCGAUCCCAACCUUGAACCUUCCACUCGCUCUGCCCCAUCCUUUGGAAUGGGGGGAACUGUGCUGAUGAGGUGCCGACCAGCUUCUUCCCCCCUUUGCAAUGUUGUUGAAGCUCAAGGCCCCCCGGACACCAGUCUAGAGGAAGCCUUCUUGGCCGCCGCGACUGCAGCCUCUCACCCCAUCCCGGACGCCCAAGUAAAGCUUCUCACUUCAUGUAAGGCGAUGUUAGAAUCUGCCUUGCCUCUGCUGCAGCAUGGCUCUGACAAGCUCUCUUAUCAAGAUGUUAAGCGGCUUGCCAUGUUGUUGUGUCCCGAAUCUGCCCAUGACUGCGAAAGGGCAUUUCUCCCACUCCCCCUCACGGUUUACCCCCUUGCAAAGCUAGCAGGCAUGUAUACAAGAAUCUCCAAGAAGGAUCCGAAAUUCGAGCUUCAUACGAUUUGUGGUGUGAAUGAUCGUGUCUGCGGCCCUACUUCCUUUCCUCCUAAGUAUGGCCACUCUCAUGUCAAUUUCGUGGCUACUCCCAAAAGCCCUUGUGGUGGUCCUGCGGCUUUGUUUUUUGCUGAAAUUAGCAACAAUGACCAAGACGACGAGUCCUUCUGUUGCCAUGUUGCUCUGCCUCCGCCAUGUGCUGCACAAAUUCGGUGUCUUUACUGUGAGUACAUUGGGACUAGAAUUGUGCAUCCAGCCGGGAUAGACUUCCAUGGGCGUGAGUCGGAGUUUGAGAAGAUGGCCUGCGGAAAAGACCCCCGUAACGGCGAAAAUGUUCCUCCAUGGAGGGCACCAUACUACAGCAACUCGCAAAUCAUCAACAAUAGGCGCAGCUUCGCAGAGAAUGUUUAUGGCAGAAAGAAAGAAGAUAGCCUCUAUGAUGACUUGGAUGAGCACAAGAGUGUGGAUCUGGGGUCCAUUAGUAUUCGACAACUAUUUUUAGAAAUCUAG